UAUUGUCAAAUAGUGAUGUUAAUGCUUACUAUCCAUGUUAGCUGAGAUUUCACCAUGACUUAUAAACCCACAUGUUCUCUGCUUUUGCCCUCUCCCCCAUGGCAAUAACUGUUCCAUACCAUCCAACUUUACAACAUAGAUAGGAGGGGAAUUUUAUCUUGUUGAACUAAUAGAUUUGUUUAGGAGGGAAAGGUUCAUUAUUUUUUCCUCUAUUUACGUUGAAGUUAUACUCAAUUUAUUUAUAUGCAAUAA
rnacentral:misc_RNA from 1 species